rnacentral:rRNA from 1 species
UACGUAGGUGGCAAGCGUUAUCCGGAAUUAUUGGGCGUAAAGAGCGCGCAGGUGGUUAAUUAAGUCUGAUGUGAAAGCCCACGGCUUAACCGUGGAGGGUCAUUGGAAACUGGUUGACUUGAGUGCAGAAGAGGGAAGUGGAAUUCCAUGUGUAGCGGUGAAAUGCGUAGAGAUAUGGAGGAACACCAGUGGCGAAGGCGGCUUACUGGACUGUAACUGACGUUGAGGCUCGAAAGCGUGGGGAGCAAACAGG